rnacentral:rRNA from 1 species
UACGAAGGGGGCUAGCGUUGCUCGGAAUCACUGGGCGUAAAGCGCACGUAGGCGGCUUGUUAAGUCAGGGGUGAAAUCCUGGAGCUCAACUCCAGAACUGCCUUCGAUACUGGCGAUCUCGAGUUCGGGAGAGGUGAGUGGAACUGCGAGUGUAGAGGUGAAAUUCGUAGAUAUUCGCAAGAACACCAGUGGCGAAGGCGGCUCACUGGCCCGAUACUGACGCUGAGGUGCGAAAGCGUGGGGAGCAAACAGG